UACGUAGGGGGCAAGCGUUAUCCGGAAUUACUGGGCGUAAAGCGUGCGCAGGCGGCUUGCCAAGUCAGAUGUGAAAGCCCCGGGCUUAACCUGGGAAUGGCGUUUGAAACUGGCAGGCUAGAGUUUGGCAGAGGGGGGUGGAAUUCCACGUGUAGCAGUGAAAUGCGUAGAGAUGUGGAGGAACACCGAUGGCGAAGGCAGCCCCCUGGGCCAAAACUGACGCUCAGGCACGAAAGCGUGGGGAGCAAACAGG
rnacentral:rRNA from 1 species